UAAUUACUAUAGCGUGAUGGAUGGGGAGUUAAUUUGAGACUGCCGACAUACUAUUGAGAAACUAUUAAAGAUUUUGGGCAAUGUUUUAAUUCUAUAGCGUGAAAUGAUUUAGUUACCAUAGCUGUGGCACUGGAUGUUGAUGACCACCAAGUGCGGUUGAUUCGUGCAAGCAAACUUUUGACAUUCACAGAUUUGGGGUAAGCGUUAGACGAUAUGACUCCAGAUCACCAUCAAUGCAUGGCUUGAAGACAAUAUGUGACUCGUCUAUUGAUCUCAAAGCCCCUACAACAUAUAUACAUA